UAAUCUCACUACGAUCGACUUUGGUCUUUCUGUAUGUGGACUUGGAUGCUGCCGUGGUUAAUCAACGGCUCAUCUGAAAUGCUUCAGUGUACCCCACUUUGCGGCGUAUUCGGUGUGAUACAUCUUCACCGGAGUUGAUCCUUUUGGGUCGCGUCUGUAAUGGUGUGGCUCUAUGCUUCCAACCGUCUACCAGGUGGACAAUCUCUGACA
rnacentral:misc_RNA from 1 species